rnacentral:rRNA from 1 species
GACGAACGCUGGCGGCGUGCCUAAUACAUGCAAGUCGAGCGAACAGACGAGGAGCUUGCUCCUCUGACGUUAGCGGCGGACGGGUGAGUAACACGUGGAUAACCUACCUAUAAGACUGGGAUAACUUCGGGAAACCGGAGCUAAUACCGGAUAAUAUAUUGAACCGCAUGGUUCAAUAGUGAAAGACGGUUUUGCUGUCACUUAUAGAUGGAUCCGCGCCGCAUUAGCUAGUUGGUAAGGUAACGGCUUACCAAGGCAACGAUGCGUAGCCGACCUGAGAGGGUGAUCGGCCACACUGGAACUGAGACACGGUCCAGACUCCUACGGGAGGCAGCAGUAGGGAAUCUUCCGCAAUGGGCGAAAGCCAGACGGAGCAACGCCGCGUGAGUGAUGAAGGUCUUCGGAUCGUAAAACUCUGUUAUUAGGGAAGAACAAAUGUGUAAGUAACUAUGCACGUCUUGACGGUACCUAAUCAGAAAGCCACGGCUAACUACGUG